UACGGAGGGGGCUAGCGUUGUUCGGAAUUACUGGGCGUAAAGCGUACGUAGGCGGAUAUGCAAGUUGGGGGUGAAAUCCCGGGGCUUAACCCCGGAAUUGCCUUCAAAACUGUGUAUCUUGAGACCGAGAGAGGUAAGGGGAAUUCCGAGUGUAGAGGUGAAAUUCGUAGAUAUUCGGAAGAACACCAGUGGCGAAGGCGCCUUACUGGCUCGGACCUGACGCUGAGGUACGAAAGCGUGGGGAGCAAACAGG
rnacentral:rRNA from 1 species